GACGAACGCUGGCGGCGUGCUUAACACAUGCAAGUCGAACGGAAAGGCCCUGCUUUUGUUGGGUGCUCGAGUGGCGAACGGGUGAGUAACACGUGAGUAACCUGCCCUUGACUUUGGGAUAACUUCAGGAAACUGGGGCUAAUACCGGAUAGGGUCUCCUGCUGCAUGGGGGGGGUUGGAAAGUUUCGGCGGUUGGGGAUGGACUCGCGGCUUAUCCGCUUGUUGGUGGGGUAGUGGCUUACCAAGGCUUUGACGGGUAGCCGGCCUGAGAGGGUGAACGGCCACAUUGGGACUACGAUACGGACCAGACUCCUACGGGAGGCAGCAGUGGGGAAUAUUGCACAAUGGGCGGAAGCCUGAUGCAGCAACGCCGCGUGCGGGAUGACGGCCUUCGGGUUGUAAACCGCUUUCGCCUGUGACGGAGCGUGAGUGACGGUAAUGGGUAAAGAAGCACCGGCUAACUACGUG
rnacentral:rRNA from 1 species